rnacentral:rRNA from 1 species
UACGUAGGUGGCAAGCGUUGUCCGGAUUUAUUGGGUUUAAAGGGUACGUAGGUGGUCUAUUAAGUCAGUGCUGAAAUAUCCCGGCUUAACCGGGAGGGUGGCAUUGAUACUGAUGGACUUGAGUGGAGUCGAGGUAGGCGGAAUUGACGGUGUAGCGGUGAAAUGCUUAGAUAUCGUCAAGAACACCGAUAGUGUAGACAGCUUACUAGGCUCUAACUGACACUGAGGCACGAAAGUGUGGGGAUCAAACAGG